rnacentral:rRNA from 1 species
AGUGAACGCUGGCGGUAGGCCUAACACAUGCAAGUCGAACGGCAGCACAGUAAGAGCUUGCUCUUACGGGUGGCGAGUGGCGGACGGGUGAGGAAUACAUCGGGAUCUACUUUUUCGUGGGGGAUAACGUAGGGAAACUUACGCUAAUACCGCAUACGACCUACGGGUGAAAGCAGGGGAUCUUCGGACCUUGCGCGAUUGAAUGAGCCGAUGUCGGAUUAGCUAGUUGGCGGGGUAAAGGCCCACCAAGGCGACGAUCCGUAGCUGGUCUGAGAGGAUGAUCAGCCACACUGGCACUGAGACACGGUCCAGACUCCUACGGGAGCCAGCAGUGGGGAAUAUUGGACACUGGGCGCAAGCCUGAUCCAGCCAUACCGCGUGGGUGAAGAAGGCCUUCGGGUUGUAAAGCCCUUUUGUUGGGAAAGAAAAGCAGCAGGUUAAUACCCCGCUGUUCUGACGGUACCCAAAGAAUAAGCACCGGCUAACUUCGUG